rnacentral:rRNA from 1 species
UACGUAGGGGGCGAGCGUUGUCCGGAAUCAUUGGGCGUAAAGCGCGUGUAGGCGGCUCGAUAAGUCUGCUGUGAAAGUCCAGGGCUCAACCCUGGAAUGCCGGUGGAUACUGUCGAGCUCGAGUCCGGAAGAGGCGAGUGGAAUUCCUGGUGUAGCGGUGAAAUGCGCAGAUAUCAGGAGGAACACCAAUUGCGAAGGCAGCUCGCUGGGACGUUACUGACGCUGAGACGCGAAACGUGGGGGAGCAAACAGG